rnacentral:rRNA from 1 species
UAUACAGGUGUUGCAUUGGCUGUCGUCAGCUCGUGUCGUGAGAUGUUCGGUUAAGUCCGCUAACGAGCGCAACCCUCGUCGUAUGUUAUAUGUGUCAUACGAGACUGCCGGUAAAAAGCCGGAGGAAGGUGAGGAUGAUGUCAAGUCAGCAUGACCUUUAUAUCCAGGGCUACACACACGCUACAAUGGUCUGUACAAUGGGUAGCCAAGCCGCGAGGCGGAGCCAAUCCUGAAAGCAGGCCUCAGUUCAGAUUGCAGUCUGCAACUCGACUGCAUGAAGCCGGAGUUGCUAGUAACCGCAGGUCAGCAAUACUGCGGUGAAUACGUUCCCGGGUCUU